CGCGAAGCUGAGAAUCUAAGCGCCGGUAAACGGCGGUGGUAACUAUAACCAUCCUAAGGUAGCGAAAUUCCUUGUCGGGUAAGUUCCGACCUGCACGAAUGGCGUAACGACUUCCCCGCUGUCUCAACCGCAGACCCGGCGAAAUUGCACUACGAGUAAAGAUGCUCGUUUCGCGCAGCAGGACGGAAAGACCCCGGGACCUUCACUAUAGCUUGACAUUGGUGUUUGGAACGUCUUGUGUAGGAUAGGUGGGAGACGGUGAAGCCGGCACGCUAGUGCGGGUGGAGUCAUUGGUGAAAUACCACUCUGGUCGUUUCGGAUGUCUAACCUGGGUCCGUGAUCCGGAUCAGGGACAGUGUCUGGUGGGUAGUUUAACUGGGGCGGUUGCCUCCUAAAGGGUAACGGAGGCGCCCAAAGGUUCCCUCAGCCUGGUUGGCAAUCAGGUGGCGAGUGUAAGUGCACAAGGGGGCUUGACUGUGAGACAGACAUGUCGAGCAGGAGCGAAAGCUGGGACUAGUGAUCCGGCACCGACGUGUGGAAGUGGUGUCGCUCAACGGCUAAAAGGUACCCCGGGGAUAACAGGCUGAUCUUCCCCAAGAGUCCAUAUCGACGGGAUGGUUUGGCACCUCGAUGUCGGCUCGUCGCAUCCUGGGGCUGGAGUAGGUCCCAAGGGUUGGGCUGUUCGCCCAUUAAAGCGGUACGCGAGCUGGGUUUAGAACGUCGCGAGACAGUUCGGUCCCUAUCCGCUGCGCGCGCAGGAGACUUGAGAGGAGCUGUCCCUAGUACGAGAGGACCGGGACGGACGGACCUCUGGUGUGCCAGUUGUUCCGCCAGGAGCACGGCUGGUUGGCUACGUUCGGACGGGAUAACCGCUGAAAGCAUCUAAGCGGGAAGCCCACCUCAAGAUGAGGUCUCCCACCCACGUGAUGGGGUAAGGCCCCCAGUAGACCACUGGGUUGAUAGGCCAGAGAUGGAAGCAUCGUAAGGUGUGGAGUUGACUGGUACUAAUAGGCCGAGGGCUUGACCACACCUCA
rnacentral:rRNA from 2 species